GACGUAGGGGGCAAGCGUUGUCCGGAAUUACUGGGCGUAAAGAGCUCGUAGGUGGUUUGUCGCGUUGUUCGUGAAAUCUCACGGCUUAACUGUGAGCGUGCGGGCGAUACGGGCAGACUAGAGUACUGCAGGGGAGACUGGAAUUCCUGGUGUAGCGGUGGAAUGCGCAGAUAUCAGGAGGAACACCGGUGGCGAAGGCGGGUCUCUGGGCAGUAACUGACGCUGAGGAGCGAAAGCGUGGGGAGCGAACAGG
rnacentral:rRNA from 1 species